rnacentral:rRNA from 1 species
GACGAACGCUGGCGGCGUGCCUAACACAUGCAAGUCGAACGGAGAUAUACGCUGAAAUUGAGACAGCUUGCUGAGGAUAUUUCUUGUAUAUCUUAGUGGCGGACGGGUGAGUAACGCGUGAGUAACCUGCCUUUCAGAGGGGGAUAACGUUUUGAAAAGAACGCUAAUACCGCAUGAUACUGAGGGAUCGCAUGAUCCUUUAGUCAAAGGAGCAAUCCGCUGAAAGAUGGACUCGCGUCCGAUUAGAUAGUUGGUGAGGUAACGGCCCACCAAGUCUACGAUCGGUAGCCGGACUGAGAGGUUGAUCGGCCACAUUGGGACUGAGACACGGCCCAGACUCCUACGGGAGGCAGCAGUGAGGAAUAUUGGGCAAUGGGGGAAACCCUGACCCAGCAACGCCGCGUGAGGGAAGACGGUUUUCGGAUUGUAAACCUCUGUCCUCUGUGAAGAUAAUGACGGUAGCAGAGGAGGAAGCUCCGGCUAACUACGUGCCAGCCGCCGCAGUAAGAC